GACGAACGCUGGCGGCGGGCUUAACACAUGCAAGUCGAACGGAAAGGCCCUGCUUUUGUGGGGUGCUCGAGUGGCGAACGGGUGAGUAACACGUGAGUAACCUGCCCUUGACUUUGGGAUAACUUCAGGAAACUGGGGCUAAUACCGGACAGGAGCUCCUGCUGCAUGGUGGGGGUUGGAAAGUUGAGGCGGGUGGGGAUGGACUCGCGGCUUAUCAGCUUGUUGGUGGGGGAGUGGCUUACCAAGGCUUUGACGGGUAGCCGGCCUGGGAGGGUGACCGGGGACAUGGGGACUGAGAGACGGCGCAGACUCCUACGGGAGGCAGCAGUGGGGAAUAUUGCCCAAUGGGCGGAAGCCUGAUGCAGCAACGCCGCGUGCGGGAUGACGGCCUUCGGGUUGUAAACCGCUUUCGCCUGUGACGAAGCGUGAGUGACGGUAAUGGGUAAAGAAGCACCGGCUAACUACGUG
rnacentral:rRNA from 1 species